rnacentral:piRNA from 1 species
UGGGUUUGGUGAAGUCUAUACCUAGGAGG